CCGAGUUAUCACUCUAAAACCCUUUGUGAACCUUACCAUUUGUUCUGUUGCCUUGGCGGGGUAAUCAACUGCCCCGCCGGCAGCACUAAACUCUUGAAUUUUAUAGUGGACUAUACUGAAUGAAAAACAAAACAAUCA
rnacentral:misc_RNA from 1 species